UUCAUAAGCCAAAGAUCAGAAGUGAGUCUUCUGACUACCCCACCUCGAGGCUGUCUACAUCCCCCCAAAAGCCAACACUUUACUGGCAGCCCUUUUUGUUGGAGGUUAAAGAAGGCCUCAGGGACCAACAGGGGCUAGAUCUAGACAUUCCUGGGGGAAGUUUGUCUAAGGUGGACAGGGGGAAAAAUCAAGAGGCAAAAAGCCAGUGUGCUUUGGUGACCAUGAAGCAACCUCAGAGCCUUAGUUCUCCUGGAAUGCAGAGAGAAGCAUUCUGGAAGCCAUGGGAACAGGCACUCAAGGCUGCAUCCUGAAUGGAUCUGCAUGGUCCUCGCAGGGUGUUUGUGAGGAUACUGGAGGUCAGGCUACCUCCCAAGCAAGGGCUUGGUUGAGAGGGAACCCAUUGCUCAUAUUGUUGGGGGAGUUAUGAACCUGAUAUGUCAGUGGCCAGGACUGAGAUGGCUCUCCCUGGUCCUGUCAUUCCAUGGCUAAUUUCAGGGGAGUCUAAAGUCAUGGAUUUGUUUCUGCUAAGAGAUGAAGUUCAAGGAUGUUCUUGUUUGCAGGGCCUUCACUAAUGAGCAAUUUUUUUGAAAAUUAGAAAACAUUUCUUCUCUCUUUGUGAGUUGUUGGUAUUGCUCAUUUCCUUCUCUACCCAACCUCAGAGAUCAUCUUCACUUUAAAGCAAACCAUGCCCCUUGGCUUGCCACUCUUUCAGCAGCACAUGCCACGUUCUCCUAAGCAGAUGGGCUUCCGUGAUCCCGUUUUCUAGUUUGGGGUAACUAAGUCUUCAAUGCUUUACUAGUCCGGCAGUCUUUGGACUUAGGCUUCUGCCCUUUGAGACUCACAUGACUUUCUGGUUUGGGAUCUGGUCAAUUCCCUUUAAAUUUUCGAAUCUUCUUCUAUGUUCAGUUGGCUUGGCAAAGUCCCCUCUGUUCUCGUGUCACUAAUUCCUGCUCUAGGUCGUCUUUCCUUUGUGCAGCCCACAUUCCCACCAUCCCUGUGAGCUUUGUUGUACUUGGUGUUGGGCAGCCGGUGAGUGUUGUGACAGGCUCAGAC
rnacentral:lncRNA from 1 species